AAUCUUCCACAAUGGACGGAAGUCUGAUGGAGCAACGCCGCGUGAGCGAAGAAGGUUUUCGAAUCUUAGAGCUCUGCUGUCCGGGAAGACACCUGCCGGGAGUCACUGCCCGUACCUUGACGGUACCUUAUCAGAAAGCCACGGCUCACUACGUGACAGCAGCCGCGGUAAUACGUAGGUGGCAAGCGUUGUCCGGAAUUAUUGGGCGUAAAGCGCGCGCAGGCGGUCCUUUAAGUCUGAUGUGAAAGCCCACGGCUCAACCGUGGAGGGUCAUUGGAAACUGGAGGACUUGAGUACAGAAGAGGAAAGCGGAAUUCCACGUGUAGCGGUGAAAUGCGUAGAGAUGUGGAGGAACACCAGUGGCGAAGGCGGCUUUCUGGUCUGUAACUGACGCUGAGGCGCGGAAGCGUGGUGAGCAAA
rnacentral:rRNA from 1 species